CAACCAGUCAGACCUAUUUAUUUCAGCGGAAUCUUCCUGCCGGGCAACCCCAGACAGCACAGUGAGAUCCGGCGUAGGAAAGUUUCGACAGCUAUGAAAGGUCAAACGAUAGUGGACUCCAAGGGCAAUCUUUCAUCCAACCAAUUUGAAGAGGUAACUGUACUGACUGUUCCAGUCCUCCGGCUAAGCGGUUGCAAUCGGUUCCGAUCCGGUCUAAGGAGACACGACGGCUGGCGCCGAAACCCUUUGGUCGAAACAACUGUCCACCAACAAAUAUCGUUCAAUGAACCGGUUCAAUAAUUCAAACAAGGGAAGAUCGAUUAUGUGAAGUGAUGAAA